rnacentral:rRNA from 1 species
CCUACGGGGUGCAGCAGUGAGGAAUAUUGGUCAAUGGACGAGAGUCUGAACCAGCCAAGUAGCGUGAAGGAUGACUGCCCUAUGGGUUGUAAACUUCUUUUAUAUGGGAAUAAAACGUUCCACGUGUGGGAUUUUGUAUGUACCAUAUGAAUAAGGAUCGGCUAACUCCGUGCCAGCAGCCGCGGUAAUACGGAGGAUCCGAGCGUUAUCCGGAUUUAUUGGGUUUAAAGGGAGCGUAGGUGGAUUGUUAAGUCAGUUGUGAAAGUUUGCGGCUCAACCGUAAAAUUGCAGUUGAAACUGGCAGUCUUGAGUACAGUAGAGGUGGGCGGAAUUCGUGGUGUAGCGGUGAAAUGCUUAGAUAUCACGAAGAACUCCGAUUGUGAAGGCAGUUCACUGGACUGCAACUGACACUGAGGCUCGAAAGUGUGGGUAUCAAACAGGAUUAGAUACCCCAGUAGUC